rnacentral:rRNA from 1 species
AUUGAACGCUGGCGGCAUGCCUUACACAUGCAAGUCGAACGGUAACAGGUCUUCGGAUGCUGACGAGUGGCGAACGGGUGAGUAAUACAUCGGAACGUGCCUAGUAGUGGGGGAUAACUACUCGAAAGAGAGGCUAAUACCGCAUGAGAUCUACGGAUGGAAGCAGGGGAUCGCAAGACCUUGUGCUACUAGAGCGGCCGAUGGCAGAUUAGGUAGUUGGUGGGAUAAAAGCUUACCAAGCCGACGAUCUGUAGCUGGUCUGAGAGGACGAUCAGCCACACUGGGACUGAGACACGGCCCAGACUCCUACGGGAGGCAGCAGUGGGGAAUUUUGGACAAUGGGCGCAAGCCUGAUCCAGCAAUGCCGCGUGCAGGAUGAAGGCCUUCGGGUUGUAAACUGCUUUUGUACGGAACGAAAAGCCCCGGGUUAAUACCCUGGGGUCAUGACGGUACCGUAAGAAUAAGCACCGGCUAACUACGUGCCAGCCGCCGCAGUAA